rnacentral:rRNA from 1 species
UACGAAGGGGGCAAGCGUUGUUCGGAAUUACUGGGCGUAAAGGGCGCGCAGGCGGCCUUAGUAGUCAGAUGUGAAAUCCCCGGGCUCAACCUGGGAAUUGCAUUUGUGACUGCACGGCUAGAGUGUGUCAGAGGGGGUAGAAUUCCACGUGUAGCAGUGAAAUGCGUAGAGAUGUGGAGGAAUACCGAUGGCGAAGGCAGCCCCCUGGGAUAACACUGACGCUCAUGCACGAAAGCGUGGGGAGCAAACAGG